rnacentral:rRNA from 1 species
UACAGAGGUGGCAAGCGUUGUUCGGAAUUACUGGCGUAAAGCGCACGUAGGCGGAUCGAUCAGUCAGGGGUGAAAUCCCAGGGCUCAACCCUGGAACUGCCUUUGAUACUGUCGAUCUGGAGUAUGGAAGAGGUGAGUGGAAUUCCGAGUGUAGAGGUGAAAUUCGUAGAUAUUCGGAGGAACACCAGUGGCGAAGGCGGCUCACUGGUCCAUUACUGACGCUGAGGUGCGAAAGCGUGGGGAGCAAACAGG